rnacentral:lncRNA from 1 species
AUGGUCCCCAUCACCCGAGAACACAUGCUGGUUACCCACAUGAAUUCAGGCGUUUCAACUGUCAAGCUUCCAGGGAGUAGCUGUACCCCUCCAAAGGAGACUGGGAUGGGAAAGGCUUCCACAGAAACCUCCUCUGCUAGCCGCAUGUCAAGGACCACCACUGUGGGAGCCACAGCCACAGGAGCUGGUCUGGCCACAGAAGAGAAAGGUGACAUUUUUAUGUGUUCACAGGACCAUGCUCCCCUGGAACACUGUCACCACACUCAGAUCUCAUCUGAGUCAGUCCCUGGCAUCUGGAAGGACUAUUGAGUUUCUCUCCUCAGCUGUGGUCCUCCGCACCCAGUUUCCCUCAUCAGUUCCUGCAUCAGUCUUAUGGCCCUUUAAUGCAGACAUUGUUUACCCAACUCUCAUCAAGAGAACUGUAUUGCCAUGACUGGGUGUAACUCAGGGUGAUAGCCGAGCUGACCUUCUGUGCUAGCGGGUGUGCAAAAGCCUGCAUCCGAUCUGGCUGUGUCACUAUCAGUGUCCUCAUCUGAAAAUCCUGUGUCCCUAUGUUUCUGGAAGAGAGACAGACAAAUGUAGUGGGGCAUGAAAUGAUGUGAAUUACUCUGACAUUUGUGGAUCACUGUAAAGAUGUCAGCUUUCCUACUGAUUAUUUAUCUUAUCUCUGCUGCUUUUAUGGCCCAGUAGGUCCCAAGGCCUGAUGGGAAGGGAGUUCUUUGAAGAUGGAUUGCACUUACCAGGUUCUCAUUUUCUCUGCAGCCAAGCCAGUUUGCUUUCUUAAUGAUCCUAAUUCCUUUCACUGCCUUAAUGGCUGCAUUUCUUUCUACCAUGGAUAAAGACUCGGGGGAUGGGGACUUUUAUGGAUUUUCCCCUUUGGCCAUCGUUCCAAAUGGUAAUGCCUAUUAGGCUUUUGUUAAAAUUCUCUCAAGGAAGAUUUCUAAUGUCUCCACUUGCCAAUGUCCUGUUGGCAGGAGGCUGCAUCGUGAGCCAGCCAGUCAUAAAGUUCUGCUGCCAGGAACCCAGGCAGCAGCUGACAGACUUGGGGAGCAGAAUCAUGCUUCAAGUUGUAUCGUCUCUGCUCCAUCACUGACAGACCUUGUCUCUUCUCUCUACAGAAACAAUGCAUUUUCUUAUGAUAUCAAAAGCAAAUUAGUGCUUAUAAAUAAUUCAAACAAACAGUAUCAUUUAGGGAGCCAAAAAGUCACCCGAUUCCUUCUUUACAACACUGUUGAGAGCUUGUUGGCUGUUCCUCUAGCUUUCUCUCUAUGCCUCCACAAGCCAUGCCUGUGGUCUUUGAACGUAGAAUCAAACCAGACUUAGUUCUUCAUGUUUCAUUUUCACUUAUAGUCAUAUGUGGUACUCCCCCCCUACACUAAAACUGUCUCAUUUUUGUUCAAAACUUUGAGGUAUUGAAGAGGUGUAUCACACUUUAAUUAGAAUCCUACAAAGGUAUUUGCAUUCCUUCCAAUACUUUUAGACGGCCACCAUACAGAUUUUGUUCAUGUUUCUUUGAAGGCUUAUAGUAAUGUUUUGUCUGGGUAAGUGCUGGGCAUUUCAGCUUGCCCCUCUUGAAUAAUCUUAACAUUUGAGCUGUGAAAUAAAAGAGUGGGCUGUCUUAAUAUUAGAGCA